AACGAACGCUGGCGGCAGGCUUAACACAUGCAAGUCGAACGGGUGUAGCAAUACAUCAGUGGCAGACGGGUGAGUAACACGUGGGAACCUUCCUAGGGGUACGGAACAACUCAGGGAAACUUGAGCUAAUACCGUAUACGUCCGUGAGGAGAAAGAUUUAUCGCCCUUAGACGGGCCCGCGUCGGAUUAGCUAGUUGGUGGGGUAACGGCCUACCAAGGCGACGAUCCGUAGCUGAUCUUAGAGGAUGAUCAACCACACUGGGACUGAGACACGGCCCAGACUCCUACGGGAGGCAGCAGUGAGGAAUCUUGGACAAUGGGCGCAAGCCUGAUCCAGCCAUGCCGCGUGAGUGAAGAAGGUCUUCGGAUUGUAAAGCUCUUUUGCCAGGGACGAUAAUGACGGUACCUGGAGAAUAAGCCCCGGCAAACUUCGUGCCAGCCGCCGCGGUAA
rnacentral:rRNA from 1 species